UCAGGAACCCGAUGCUGUACUAAUUAUUGAGUCAAAUAGUUCUUCACCUCUUCCUGAUCAUAACACUGUACUAUAUGUCACUGAUAGAGACCCAUUUAAGGAGAAGUGGGAGGGGCCUGUUCUAGGGCCUGAUGAUGCCGUUGAUUAUCUUGGCGUUGAUGAAGCAUACUCAAUAACAUUACUAUCGGAUCACUUGGAAAGAAAGUACUCAAAAGGUGGUUACUCUGUUUGGUAUUACGGUGAAAGAGAGACCCCAGCAACAAUCAGUGACUCCAUUGAUGUCACCAUACAUCAACACUUGUUA